rnacentral:rRNA from 2 species
GGCGUGCCUAAUACAUGCAAGUCGAGCGGACAGAUGGGAGCUUGCUCCCUGAUGUUAGCGGCGGACGGGUGAGUAACACGUGGGUAACCUGCCUGUAAGACUGGGAUAACUCCGGGAAACCGGGGCUAAUACCGGAUGCUUGUUUGAACCGCAUGGUUCAGACAUAAAAGGUGGCUUCGGCUACCACUUACAGAUGGACCCGCGGCGCAUUAGCUAGUUGGUGAGGUAACGGCUCACCAAGGCGACGAUGCGUAGCCGACCUGAGAGGGUGAUCGGCCACACUGGGACUGAGACACGGCCCAGACUCCUACGGGAGGCAGCAGUAGGGAAUCUUCCGCAAUGGACGAAAGUCUGACGGAGCAACGCCGCGUGAGUGAUGAAGGUUUUCGGAUCGUAAAGCUCUGUUGUUAGGGAAGAACAAGUGCCGUUCAAAUAGGGCGGCACCUUGACGGUACCUAACCAGAAAGCCACGGCUAACUACGUGCCAGCAGCCGCGGUAAUACGUAGGUGGCAAGCGUUGUCCGGAAUUAUUGGGCGUAAAGGGCUCGCAGGCGGUUUCUUAAGUCUGAUGUGAAAGCCCCCGGCUCAACCGGGGAGGGUCAUUGGAAACUGGGGAACUUGAGUGCAGAAGAGGAGAGUGGAAUUCCACGUGUAGCGGUGAAAUGCGUAGAGAUGUGGAGGAACACCAGUGGCGAAGGCGACUCUCUGGUCUGUAACUGACGCUGAGGAGCGAAAGCGUGGGGAGCGAACAGGAUUAGAUACCCUGGUAGUCCACGCCGUAAACGAUGAGUGCUAAGUGUUAGGGGGUUUCCGCCCCUUAGUGCUGCAGCUAACGCAUUAAGCACUCCGCCUGGGGAGUACGGUCGCAAGACUGAAACUCAAAGGAAUUGACGGGGGCCCGCACAAGCGGUGGAGCAUGUGGUUUAAUUCGAAGCAACGCGAAGAACCUUACCAGGUCUUGACAUCCUCUGACAAUCCUAGAGAUAGGACGUCCCCUUCGGGGGCAGAGUGACAGGUGGUGCAUGGUUGUCGUCAGCUCGUGUCGUGAGAUGUUGGGUUAAGUCCCGCAACGAGCGCAACCCUUGAUCUUAGUUGCCAGCAUUCAGUUGGGCACUCUAAGGUGACUGCCGGUGACAAACCGGAGGAAGGUGGGGAUGACGUCAAAUCAUCAUGCCCCUUAUGACCUGGGCUACACACGUGCUACAAUGGGCAGAACAAAGGGCAGCGAAACCGCGAGG